CCUACGGGCGACAGCAGUGGGGAAUAUUGCACAAUGGGGGAAACCCUGAUGCAGCGACGCCGCGUGAGUGAAGAAGGAAUUCGGGAUGGAAAGCUCUAACAGCAGGGAAGAAAAUGACGGUAACUGAGCAAGAAGCCCCGGCUAACGACGUGCCAGCAGCCGCGGCAAUACGUAGGGGGCAAGCGUUAGCCGGAUUUACUGGGUGUAAAGGGAGCGUAGACGGCAGUGCAAGUCUGGAGUGAAAGGCGGGGGCUCAACCCCCGGACUGCUCUGGAAACUGUGCGGCUGGAGUGCAGGAGAGGUAAGUGGAAUUCCUGGUGUAGCGGUGAAAUGCGUAGAUCUUAGGAGGAACACCAGUGGCGAAGGCGGCUUACUGGACUGUAACUGACGUUGAGGCUCGAAAGCGUGGGGAGCGAACAGGAUUAGAUACCCUAGUAGUC
rnacentral:rRNA from 1 species